UGUGGGAGCGAGCCUGCUCGCGAUGACGGCAGCACAUUCAAUAUAUAUGUGACUGAUAGACCGCUAUCGCGAGCAGGCUCGCUCCCACA
rnacentral:misc_RNA from 1 species